CGGGGGGGGGGGGGGGGGGGGGGGAAGCAGCAUUUACCCUGGCGUGUCAGCCUAACCAGUCCAGAGCGCGGGCACGUUUGAGAUAGGUGGAAUAGUCGUUGGGCAGCGUUUUUACGUUCACAUGGAGGGCGCCAGCUGUAGCUUUGGUUGCUGGCAGUGGUAGUGUGAUGCGUUGUGGAAUGUGCGGCAUGUUUCUUUUAAUAUGGGAGGAUAGUAUUUGACAUGGUAGUGCCUUUGAUAAAGUAUGAAUUGAAUUGUGUGCCUGGUAGAUGGGAGGGUUUUUUUUUUUGGGGGGGGGGGGGGGAGGGCAGUAAGAGGUACCCGAGAUGCUUCAUGUUAAGGUUUCGUCCCAUUUCAUAGUUACAGUAGUCAUGUGUACCGUAGGCAGUGUAGCAGGUAAGCGCAGCUAGGACGGGCUGGUAAAUUGUUUUGCGCGAAAGUACUAAAUUGUAAUUGUAAAAGGACCUUCCCUAAGUGACUGAAUUCCUUAAACUAGCCAAUUUUUUUUGCAGCUGGACGUACGCUUCGCCCUGCUCCUCGUGGCAGUGCCAUGGCGACGUCUGGCCACUCGCGCACUGCUUCCUAGGAUGCUCGCUCCGCUCUGAAAUUGCGCCCUGUUCAGUCUUCCUUUUUUGUGCGCGCGUGUUUCCCUUUAGUUUUGUAUCGAAUAGCGGGCAGAUCAGUGCGGCCAGUCUGGUAUUGGUGCACCCUAUGCAUCCAGGCUUAUUUUGCAUAAGGCAUGAGGCACACGUGACUCCUUGGAGGCAGAUGUGACGCAACAGGAGGGGAUUCAUGCAUUUCGAGCAUGUGGCAGUAAAUUCGCGGUCAAGCAGCUUUUAUUUAAAGGGUGCAAGUUUCAGGUUCUGUGCUUAUGGGAAGGGCUGUGGAUGAGUGAUGUUUUGAUAUCCCGAAUAAAUGAGUUGAUCUUA